rnacentral:rRNA from 1 species
AACGAACGCUGGCGGCAGGCCUAACACAUGCAAGUCGAGCGAGGACUUCGGUCCUAGCGGCGGACGGGUGAGUAACGCGUGGGAACGUGCCCUUUGCUACGGAAUAGCCCUGGGAAACUGGGAGUAAUACCGCAUGUGCCCUUCGGGGGAAAGAUUUAUCGGCAAAGGAUCGGCCCGCGUUGGAUUAGGUAGUUGGUGGGGUAAUGGCCUACCAAGCCGACGAUCCAUAGCUGGUUUGAGAGGAUGAGCAGCCACACUGGGACUGAGACACGGCCCAGACUCCUACGGGAGGCAGCAGUGGGGAAUCUUAGACAAUGGGCGCAAGCCUGAUCUAGCCAUGCCGCGUGAGCGAUGAAGGCCUUAGGGUUGUAAAGCUCUUUCAGUGGGGAAGAUAAUGACGGUACCCACAGAAGAAGCCCCGGCUAACUCCGUGCCAGCCGCCGCAGUAAAAC